AUGUACUCAAUGCCGAACGGAGUCCAGGACCAAGACGCCGAGGAAGAAGCGAGUGGGGCGAGAGCGGCGAGGAGCAUUCGGAGGCUGAGGAGGACGAGGGGAGCGACGAAUCGACUGAUGACGAAGAGGUCGACUCGCCUCCUCGCAGGGAGAGGAGAUCCAAAUACGCUCACGACCCGGCGAGUGCUCUUGACUUGGUGGCCGCGCCGAUUGGUCAAUCUUCGAAGUGUCCCAGGACGUCUUCCCCAGCGCCGACUGAGAAGGCUCCAAAGCAGUCCAAAGUUGCGCCGCCUCCAGCACCGAAAGCGUCGAAAGCCACCUCCUCCAAACUGCCAAAAGCUUUGCCCAGGAUCAAAGUGA
rnacentral:rRNA from 1 species